CGGGCUGUAGUAUAAUGGUAGUAUACCGCCUUCGGGAGGCGGCGGCCCUAGUUCGAUCCUGGGCAGCCCGA
rnacentral:tRNA from 1 species